rnacentral:lncRNA from 1 species
UCACCUCCUCUUCCUCCUCCUCCCUCCUCCUCCCUCUCUUCUCUUUUCCCCCUCUUCUCUGUCCUCUUGCCCACUGGGCUUGGAGAAUGGAUCACAGAAUACUCGGAACACCGACUUCUCUUUAUGCCGAGGAACUCAGCCUCCCAGCAGACCAGUCUACAGUGCCGCAAGAGGGCUUAGCCACCAUACAGAAUCAUCAGUCAGUUCAAGAAAAGGUGCUCCCUGGGGCUUGAGCCUGCUGCUUUUUCUUCUUGAGUAGCUGUCAGGUAUAGAUCUCAGGGACAUUAUAAUUGUUUGGAAACAGCUCUCCCCUUGAGUUGCUUGCUUUGGAAUUAAAUGCAGAACAGCAA